rnacentral:rRNA from 1 species
UACGAAGGGGGGCUAGCGUUGCUCGGAAUCACUGGGCGUAAAGCGCACGUAGGCGGUCUUUUUAAGUCAGGGGGUGAAAUCCUGGAGCUCAACUCCAGAACUGCCUUUGAUACUGAGAGACUUGAGUCCGGGAGAGGUGAGUGGAACUGCGAGUGUAGAGGUGAAAUUCGUAGAUAUUCGCAAGAACACCAGUGGCGAAGGCGGCUCACUGGCCCGGUACUGACGCUGAGGUGCGAAAGCGUGGGGAGCAAACAGG